rnacentral:rRNA from 1 species
UCUCAGUUCGGAUUGAAGGCUGAAAUUCGCCUUCAUGAAGCCGGAAUUGCUAGUAAUGGCAGGUCAGCAUACUGCCGUGAAUACGUUCCCGGGCCUUGUACACACCGCCCGUCACACCAUGAGAGUUGGGAAUACCCGAAGCCUGUGAGCUAACUUUUAGAGGCAGCAGUCGAAGGUAGAAUCAAUGAUUGGGGUGAAGUCGUAACAAGGUACC